rnacentral:tRNA from 1 species
GGAGCAAUACUCAAGUUGGUGAAGAGGUAUCCCUGCUAAGGAUAUAGGUCGGGCAACCGGCGCGAGAGUUCGAGUCUCUCUUGCUCCGCCA